ensembl:rRNA 5S_rRNA 5S ribosomal RNA
CAUUACGGCCAUACCACACUGACAACGCCCGAUCUCGUCUGAUCUCAGAAGCUAAGCAGAGUUGGGCUGGGUCAGUACUUGGGUGGGUCACCGCCUGGGAAUACCCGGUGCAGUAAGCA